GUCCUGACCGUAAACGGUGGACACUAGGUGUUGGAGGCAUCGACCCCUCCAGUGCCGCAGCUAACGCAUUAAGUGUCCCGCCUGGGGAGUACGACCGCAAGGUUGAAACUCAAAGGAAUUGACGGGGGCCCCGCACAAGCGGUGGAGCAUGUGGUUUAAUUCGACGCAACGCGAAGAACCUUACCCAGGCUUGACAUGCACGGGACAGGUGUGGAAACACACCCUCUCUUCGGAGUCCGUGCACAGGUGCUGCAUGGCUGUCGU
rnacentral:rRNA from 1 species